CUCCGCCGUGUUCCCCCCCCCCCAUCCGCCGCCUCCCAUCGCUGGCCCAAGGUUUUGUGUGUGAUUUGCAUGGGAUUUGAGUGGGAGGGGCUGGAUUGACUAAGGGGUGUGAUGGAUCUGAAAAGGAUCGAUGCAAUGUCUGUGCAUGAUUCUAACCAAUCCAGUGUGAUAAACCUAACCACGGGGGCGAUCUCAGGCAAUGAAGUAGAAAAUGGUAGUGCUACUAUUGAUUGGUCAAGCUUUGUGAUUGAACCAGAAAACGAUGGGGAUGAAAAACCGCCGGACGAGAAAGCCAUGUUUGCUCUGUUUGGUUUAAAAAUAGAGCCAGAUGAGAGAGCAACUGAGCUUCCUACUCCUGAUGUGGAGUCUGACUUACAUGAUAUCAAAGAUGCAGAUAUUGUUGUUGAUGAUAAGGCUCCAGAGGAGC